rnacentral:rRNA from 1 species
AACGAACGCUGGCGGCAUGCCUAACACAUGCAAGUCGAACGAUGCCUUCGGGCAUAGUGGCGCACGGGUGCGUAACGCGUGGGAAUCUGCCCUUGGGUUCGGAAUAACUCAGAGGAAAUUUGAGCUAAUACCGGAUGAUGACGUAAGUCCAAAGAUUUAUCGCCCAAGGAUGAGCCCGCGUAAGAUUAGCUAGUUGGUGGGGUAAAGGCCUACCAAGGCGACGAUCUUUAGCUGGUCUGAGAGGAUGAUCAGCCACACUGGGACUGAGACACGGCCCAGACUCCUACGGGAGGCAGCAGUGGGGAAUAUUGGACAAUGGGCGAAAGCCUGAUCCAGCAAUGCCGCGUGAGUGAUGAAGGCCUUAGGGUUGUAAAGCUCUUUUACCAGGGAUGAUAAUGACAGUACCUGGAGAAUAAGCUCCGGCUAACUCCGUG